CUAAAAGAAUCCCAGCCACGGCAGCUUGUAUCCAGAGUCUAUUCAGCUGAUCUCUCCCAGGCAACAACCUCUUCCAGAGGGGGCAGUGGGCCAGGUAUUUGGCCUUGGUCAUCUAUCAUCGUCCCCCAACACAUGCUACAGAGUGUCCCUCCUCGACAUUUCAACUCUGGCACGAAGGCACUGUUCCUGACAUGAAGCUUAAACAGAGUCAGCGAUUCAUGGCCGUUCAAGGAAAACCUGUAAAUGCCAGAGUUCCAAGUAAACACUACUGAGAAAACAAAGGGAGCAGAGCCAUGGUGAUGGGCCAUGUUGCUAGCAACGGCACCCGUCGCUAGCUCACAAAGGCUACUCAACAAAGAGUACCUGGUAGACUGCAUGCCAUACGGUCUUUUCACUUUGUAAUAUUUGAAAGCUUGGGAUAGGACUUCAAAUCAAAUCAAAUUGUAUUGGUCACAUACGUACACAUUAGCAGAUGCUUGCUAACCUCCUCCCGAAAACCAUUAUAGCUGACGUCAUAUAAACAUUGGAUGAAGACAAUGCUAACAGUGCUAAAAAUACCAUUACAAAACAGUGACAAUGCUAAUGAGUAGGCUACAAUAUACAUACAUUUUGUGACGUUUCUUGUUCAUCUCCUUUUCUCUUCAAUUUCAUUUACAUGUUUUGUUUUUCUCAUAUGCAACCAUGGCUGCAGUUGUGUCGUCUUUCAGGGUUCGAGCACCAUUUACACAUUUUUCACUGCAACCUGCUGACAGCAACAAUAGCCGCCAUUGACAACAACACAGAAUGCAGCAAUCCCGCUGCUUCACUCUGGACCUCGCUGUGAUCUCCCCUUGUGGGUUUAAUCAGGAAAAGGUUCAACAUUUCAGCAUUAAUCCUCUUUGUUUUGUUCUCCCUACAAAGAGGGAAAUGGUCCUUUCUCUCUCUUUCUCCCUCCCUCCCUCUCUCUCUCUCUCUCUCUCUCUCUCUCUCUCUCUCUCUGCAUCAUUUUAAUUAAAGUAAUGGCAGAGGCAACCCAGAGAAGUGUAAGACUCUUUAGUUUCUUUCGGGAUGACAUCAACGUCGUCGCCAUGAUACCGUUUUCUCAUUUAGGAUGUUCAAUAAAGUCACACUCAGCUAAGGGUCUACAGCUGUGUGUCCCAAACACGCUAGUACACUCGGCCUGCAAAUCACACCAAGCUUAGAGGUAGCCUUUGUUAGGUGCCGCAUCACUAGCCUUUGCAAGAACGGAAAGGAGGGAUAACCAGGGGGACAAGAAGACACGGUGCUAGGUGGUGACCUGAUUUCGCCCAGCCUGUCUGGCAGUGGUGACCAUUAUCCCAGCGCUCUUAUCAGCUGACUGGAUCAGAUGGACAGGGAUGAGGGAAUCUCUUCCACACCAUCCCGCCAUGGCCAGGAUACACAGGUCAUAGGUAAUCUGGAUUUGUUGUGUUGUCCGUCCCUCUUUCUGGCUAAACCACUUGUUACUAUAGGUCUUACACAACGAUUCUGGAUCGUAGCCGAUUCAUAAUGCUGCUCCGACCAUAUGCCACCUACUCAUCCCAGGGCAGCCAAAGUAGUAUCACUCCAAAUGCUAUGAUUGCAGUCACAUUCAUUUCACUGAGUACAUCAUGUAAGAACGGAUGAAUCACGUGGCAUAAAGGGUUGGACGAUUGACAAAAUGUGCUUCACUGAAUACUGAACCACAUACAGAAUGGAACUGUCUCCACUUUCUAUGUACUGAGGAGGUUAAUAGAACCCUCUCACGUGUGUGUUCCACAAUGUACUGACCUCGCACAAUAAACAAAUACGGGAACAUCCUUUGUCUCUGCAACGAUCCAUUCCACUCACACUCUUCAUCCCCAGUGUACAUUGCCCAACGUUGAACGUUGUAAUUUCACAGAUAACAUUUGUAUUCCUUCACUUUGCCAACUUGCAUGGACAAAGGUUAAUAGUUUCCAAUA
ensembl:lncRNA